UUAUAUAAAACCAUUCUAUUGUUUGACAGUAAAUCCGUUCAGUAUGUUUGCUAAUUCGGUUUAUGUUGCGGCUAUAUUGGGAAUAGUGUUGGUGUAUAGCAGUCAUGCAGGUGUAUAUAUUUAUUUUUAAAAUAGACCGUGGUUUUUCUGUUUGAAUUAUGUUACACCAGACAUUUUUGGGACUUUUAUAGAUUGUUGUUAUGUGUUAGCCAAGGCUCUAUGUUGAAGGCCGUACUAUGACCUAUAAUGGUUUGCUUUUUACAUAUUGUGAUUUGGAUAGAGAGUUGUCUCGUUGGCCCUUUUACCACAUCUUCUUGUAUAUCUUUUCUAUACUUAAUGUCUUGGUGUGUGCUAAUGGUUCAUCUUUUGUUCAAACCAUCUAGUCAUAGUAGGCAAAGUAUUCGUGCAAUCGCCACAUGUGCUAUGGUGCAGACAUUUCCGAAGACAAUAUAAGUUAAGAUAAAAAGCAGAAUUACUAGUAACUUUUAAAAAAUAUGUUUAAAUUGCCUCCUCUCUGUAAUGAAUUAAUCAUAGGUUAGUCUUUAGAAACACAUAUGCACAACUCUCAUGAAACACAUAUUCACAACUCUAAUGCAUAUAUAAUGGUACUAUACUUUUAUAAACUGUGACUUGUAUGGAGAUUUGUCUCAUGGGCACUCAUACAACAUCUUUCUAUAUAUAGCUAUUUAUGCCACAUACUUUUUUAACCAACAGAUAAAUGCAGUUAUCCAUACCGAAGAAUUGGCAAGAGCUGUUACCUUAUAAAUACACAAAAAGUGACAGCAGAUACCGCCUUUGUAUGUUACGUUUAUAAUAAUAAGAUUUAUUAGUCAAUAACUUUAAUUUUGUAUGUAACGCGUCUCCUGAUUGGCUGACAGAUACACAAAAAGUGACAGCAGACACCGUCUUUUGUAUGAUAAGUAUAUAAUAACAAGAUCAUUAGUCAAUAAUCUAAUUUUGGAUUUAACGCGUCUCCUGAUUGGCUGACAGGUACACAAAAAGUGACAGCAGAUACCGCCUUUGUUUGUUAAGUAUAUAAAAACAAGAUCAUUAGUCAAUAACUUUUGCCUACGUCGCAGUGUACACGCAGCAAACUAGCAACAUUCUGUGUUCGCCUGUCCAAAGUCAGAAGCAUGUAGUUUAGUAAUUGUCGUUGGUUUAUGUCUGUCUUUGUAUUUCGCAAACUGUUUUGUUACAUUAUAAAGUAGACCGUUGAUAGUUAAUUGAAUUGUCGCAUAUCUUUCCCGUCGGGGCCAUUUAUAGCCGACUAACAGUAUGGGUUUAUCUCAUUGUUGAAGGCCGUACGAUUGCUUAUGAUUGUUUUAAACCACCUCAUUUUAAUUUUGGUGGAAAUUCUCUCGCUGGCAAUCAUACUACACCAGAAGAUUUUUACCUUAUAUUAAACAUGCUGCAGCGAGCUAACGGACAAUUACUGACUAGGUUGAUGCCUUCUGCGAAGUCUGUGCCAAAACAAAGCAAAUGUUUUUAAAAAAUCAAUAAUUUUGGGACUACUAAACAUUUAAGCGAACACCAAACUGAUUUUUUUUGCCGCAAUGAAGUAAGUUAAUUAUUUUGUACAUCUUCUGAUAAUGAAAUAUUAUUUCUUUGUUUAUGUUAAUGUAAUUUAUAGAUUGAGCAGAUAUUAGAUAUGUUUGUCUACUUUAAAAUGAAUCUAAAAAAAGAAGACUCUUCAAGCUUAUGUUUUUCAGACUUAUUUGAAAGCAAUAAAAAAAAUGUCAAAGAUUCUUUAAAUUUCGUACAGUCGGUCGAAGUAGCCUAGUCCUACAGACAGAUAUAUUGGUUAUCUGUCCGACUAAGUCUACUCUUAAAGGAAUGUAGUAUACCUUUCCUCAUAAGGACGUCACGGUUCAGCUAGCAAGCAAGCUAACCAAAUAUAUUACAUUUACCUACACACUCAAUGCAAUCGGCUGUAAACGAUUCGUGCAUAAUAAUUAAACUUUAUUAAGGAAUAAGCUAUCAAUACAUUUGCAAAUGUUUUUAAGGUAAUUUAGAGUAUCUAUCAUGCAAUGUCAAUGUAUAACUAACAUAUUUACUGAUUUUUCAGGCGAUAUGUUUACGACAUGGUGCAUACCUGGCCAACUUUGAGACAUUGGAAGAAUAGAUGUUAAUGAAAUAUGAAUUGAAGAAGAUGAAUACUGGU
rnacentral:lncRNA from 1 species